UAAACUUUUGCAUCCUAGACACUGAGACACUUGGCCCUGAAACCAACAACCUUAUUAUUGUCAUUGAUUUUUGGAGUAAUCAAGUGCAACGUCGAAUACCCAAGUUGGUAGUUGUCUGUAUUUAGAUGAAUUUUUGCAUCGUAACGGAGACACAUGGACCUUAAACCAAUAACCUUAUUAUUAUUUUCUUUAAUGUUUGUAGUAAUCAACUGCAAAAUCAAUUGCUAUUCUCCCUUUUUUUUCACAUGCAAGUCAUCCAAACAGGGACACCAUGCUACAAAUACUACAACUAUAAUUCCAAAUACAAAUACUAUAAUGAAAAGUCUACUGAGAUUUCUUAAACUCGAUUAAAACCAAAACUAGGCUUUCCGUUGUCGUUUCAAAAUAAAAAUGUUAGCCCCAGAACCAAUUAA